rnacentral:rRNA from 1 species
AUGGAUUCCGCGAGAAGUUGGUUCCAGAAGUUCCAGCCGCGGGACAAGUCCAAGAGCCCGGCGGUGCCUGCCAGCCAUGGGAAGGAUCCUGGGAAGCCCCCAGUCGACGACGCGCCUUCUAGCGCGACCAAGCAGAAGGUCGCCGCGGCAAAACAGUACAUUGAGAACCACUACAAGACUCAGAUGAAGUCCUUGCAAGAUAGGAAAGAGAGGCGCUGGAUGCUGGAGAGGAAAUUACAGGAUGCUGAAGUUCCUGCAGAAGAGCAGAACAACAUUCUAAAACAUUUGGAGAAAAAGGAGACUGAAUAUAUGCGUUUGCAAAGACACAAGAUGGGGGUUGAAGAUUUUGAACUUUUGACAAUUAUUGGAAGAGGUGCAUUUGGAGAGGUGCGUCUUUGUAGAGAGAAGACCUCUAAAAGUGUAUAUGCAAUGAAAAAGCUUAAGAAAUCUGAAAUGCUUCGUAGGGGCCAGGUGGAACACGUCAAAGCCGAAAGAAACCUUCUUGCAGAAGUCGAUAGUGCGUACAUAGUAAAGCUUUACUAUUCUUUUCAAGAUGAUGAGUUCUUGUAUCUCAUCAUGGAGUACCUUCCUGGUGGUGACAUGAUGACUUUGCUCAUGCGCAAGGACACUCUGACAGAAGAUGAAGCCAAAUUUUACAUCGCUGAAACUGUACUAGCAAUAGAGUCCAUUCACAAGCACAAUUACAUUCACAGGGAUAUCAAGCCAGAUAAUUUAUUGUUAGAUCUCAGUGGUCACUUGAAGCUUUCUGACUUUGGAUUGUGCAAACCUUUGGAUAGCAGUAAUUUUCCAAAUUUGAACGAACCGGACUAUACACCUGGAAAAGGUGCUAAACCUUUACCCGAUAACACCAGUCGAUUAACUAACUCUUCUGCACCGAAGCGUACGCAGCAGGAGCAGCUGUCACAUUGGCAAAAGAACCGUCGGAUGUUGGCGUAUUCUACAGUUGGUACUCCUGAUUACAUUGCUCCAGAGGUUCUAUUGAAGAAAGGAUAUGGAAUGGAGUGUGACUGGUGGUCCCUUGGUGCUAUCAUGUAUGAAAUGCUAGUUGGUUAUCCCCCAUUUUAUUCGGAGGAUCCAAUGUCAACCUGCAGAAAGAUUGUGAACUGGAGAAGUCACCUGAAAUUUCCUGAAGAAGCAAAGCUUUCUUCUGAAACUAAGGAUCUCAUUAGCAAACUUCUCUGUAAUGUUGAGCAGAGACUUGGAACAAAAGGAGCCCAUGAAAUAAAAGCACAUACAUGGUUUAGAGGUGUCCAAUGGGAAAAGUUGUAUCAGAUGAAAGCUGCUUUCAUACCAGAAGUUAAUGGCGAGUUGGAUACUCAGAACUUUGAGAAAUUUGAGGAGACUGGAGCACAAGUUCAGAGUUCAUCUAAGGCGGGUCCAUGGAGAAAGAUGCUUCCAUCCAAGGAUGCAAAUUUUGUUGGAUACACCUACAAGAACUUUGAAAUUGUGAAUGACGAUGAAGUUGCCGGGAUUGCCGAGCUGAAGAAAAAGAGUUCCAAAUCAAAACGGCCAACCAUCAAGACAUUGUUUGAGAGCAUGGAUGAAGAUGAACCUGUGCACGGCAGUUUCUUAAAUAUGUUGCCCCAUAAGGAGGGACAACCUUCUUCUCACUCAAGCGCCCCACCAGAACAAUACCAACCUCGACGUAAAUAG